AAAAAAGGAGCAAGGAACCAACAGGGAUUGCCCCAGUAACGGCGAGUGAAGCGGCAACAGCUCAAAUUUGAAAUCUGGCCCCCUCGGGGCCCGAGUUGUAAUUUGCAGAGGGAGCUUUUGGCGUCGGUCGUGGUCUAAGUUCCUUGGAACAGGACGUCACAGAGGGUGAGAAUCCCGUACGUGGCCGCCGGCCUUCGCCUUGUAAAGCCCCUUCGACGAGUCGAGUUGUUUGGGAAUGCAGCUCUAAAUGGGAGGUAAAUUCCUUCUAAAGCUAAAUACCCGCCAGAGACCGAUAGCGCACAAGUAGAGUGAUCGAAAGAUGAAAAGCACUUUGGAAAGAGAGUGAAAAAGCACGUGAAAUUGUUGAAAGGGAAGCGCUUGCGGCUAGACGUGCCCGCGGUUGAUCAUCCAGGCUCCGGCCUGGUGCACUCCUCCGCGGGCAGGCCAGCAUCAGUUCGGGCGGUCGGAUAAAGGCCUCUGUCACGUACCACCCCUCGGGGUGGCCUUAUAGGGGAGGCGCAACACGGCCAGCCCGGACUGAGGUUCCGCGCAUCUGCUAGGAUGCUGGCGUAAUAGCAGCAAGCGGCCCGUCUUGAAACACGGACCAAGGAGUCUAACAUCUAUGCGAGUGUUUGGGUGUCAAGCCCGAGCGCGCAAUGAAAGUGAACGGAGGUGGGAACCCUCACGGGUGCACCAUCGACCGAUCCUGAUGUCUUCGGAUGGAUUUGAGUAAGAGCAUAGCUGUUGGGACCCGAAAGAUGGUGAACUAUGCCUGAAUAGGGUGAAGCCAGAGGAAACUCUGGUGGAGGCUCGCAGCGGUUCUGACGUGCAAAUCGAUCGUCAAAUUUGGGCAUAGGGGCGAAAGACUAAUCGAACCAUCUAGUAGCUGGUUCCUGCCGAAGUCUCCUCUCAGGAUA
rnacentral:rRNA from 1 species